rnacentral:rRNA from 1 species
UGGAAGUUAAAAAGCGUAACAAGGUCUCCGUUGGUGAACCAGCGGAGGGAUCAUUACCGAGUUUACAACUCCCAAACCCAAUGUGAACGUUACCAAACUGUUGCCUCGGCGGGGUCACGCCCCGGGUGCGUCGCAGCCCCGGAACCAGGCGCCCGCCGGAGGAACCAACCAAACUCUUUCUGUAGUCCCCUCGCGGACGUAUUUCUUACAGCUCUGAGCAAAAAUUCAAAAUGAAUCAAAACUUUCAACAACGGAUCUCUUGGUUCUGGCAUCGAUGAAGAACGCAGCGAAAUGCGAUAAGUAAUGUGAAUUGCAGAAUUCAGUGAAUCAUCGAAUCUUUGAACGCACAUUGCGCCCGCCAGUAUUCUGGCGGGCAUGCCUGUCCGAGCGUCAUUUCAACCCUCGAACCCCUCCGGGGGAUCGGCGUUGGGGAUCGGGACCCCUCACACGGGUGCCGGCCCCGAAAUACAGUGGCGGUCUCGCCGCAGCCUCUCCUGCGCAGUAGUUUGCACAACUCGCACCGGGAGCGCGGCGCGUCCACGUCCGUAAAACACCCAACUUUCUGAAAUGUUGACCUCGGAUCAGGUAGGAAUACCCGCUGAACUUAAGCAUAUCAAUAAGCGGAGGA